AGAGUUUGAUCCUGGCUCAGAUUGAACGCUGGCGGCAUGCUUUACACAUGCAAGUCGAACGGGGUUAAGGGGCUUGCUCCUUAAUCUAGUGGCGAACGGGUGAGUAAUGCAUCGGAACGUACCCGGGAGUGGGGGAUAACGCACCGAAAGGUGUGCUAAUACCGCAUAUUCUGUGAGCAGGAAAGCAGGGGACCUUAGGGCCUUGUGCUUCCGGAGCGGCCGAUGUCGGAUUAGCUAGUUGGUGAGGUAAAGGCUCACCAAGGCGACGAUCCGUAGCGGGUCUGAGAGGAUGAUCCGCCACACUGGGACUGAGACACGGCCCAGACUCCUACGGGA
rnacentral:rRNA from 1 species